AUGAAAGUACAGGGAGAGACUGUUCAGAACCAUAACAGCGCCGAAGGAGUAAGCCAGUAAUGGUGAAUCUCUCAGGUAAAAGGGACCUGUACCGGACG
rnacentral:ncRNA from 2 species